CCUCUUUUUAUUUUGUCUUUAUUUAAUCCGUGGACAAAAGCACAUCCUCACCCUAGGCCAGCCUCAUGGUGUUUAUUCCUUCAAAGCUCGCCAUACAGACUGUGUUGAAAUAGCAUGCAUAUCUCAAGUUGUGAUUAGUAGUCACAGAGGCUAUAGUGUUGAUUUUUAAACCUGUCUCAAAUAUUAAUUGAGAGAGGAAAUGUGUCCUUUGAGACUCCUAUAGGGGUGGGAAUUACGUGUGUGUGGAAAACAAAGCACCAAAUGUCUGUCUGAAGGACCCUCUGUGUGUCUGUCUGCUGGUAGUUUGUGCAGCAGGUUUUAAUUUCAGGACCGGCCAAUUGACUUGGAUUAGCUUGUUUUCUCUUUGCCACUGGGUGCCUCUAGUCCACUAUUUUCUGUCUCUUUGACUCUCUCUCUUCCUCUUUCAUUCUUUCCUUGCAAGAACAUACUCAUUAUUCUCCCAACUCCUAUACAAAACUUAUCGUUAAGUAAAUAUUCUCCUCCUUUUUUUCCUGAUACUUUGGGAGGUGUUGGUGCCAUCUGGUGUCGAAAUCCUGAACAUACCAGAUGGGAACCUUCUCAACUGAAGCUGCCUGUCUCAUGUGGAUAUUAUAACCACAUUAAAGAGAUUUUGGAAAUUAAGCCCUGUAUCUACUACCCCGAGGUAGCUGUUCCUGUGCAUUUUCAGUCAUGAGCUAACAAGUUAGUUUUGUCUCGCACCUUUUAACUUCUUGCAUACUGAACAUAUAGACAUCAGAAUGGUAUCCCAGAGUUCAUCGGAGUCUUGAGAAGUCGAUGGGCUUCAUUGGAAAAAUAUCAAACAUCCCUUUAAAGCAUGUUUGUGGACUGCCAAAUUUACUCACUGAAGUUGUGGACUUUGCUUUGUAAUGUGUGUUCGAGAAGAGGUGGAAGGUCGGGUGUUCUGAGAAGUGUGUGUGUGUGUGUUUAGAUCUAUGCUCAUGAGGAUGAUGAUGAUCUUGAGGAAGAGCAUCCUGUGUUGAAUAUAAAGAGACCAUCGAGGAGAUCCUCUCAUAGUCGACCAGACGGUUCCUACAAGCGAUGAUUCUGUAAUAUACACUAAGCCUAUCCAUCUCACUGGGUUUGUGGUGCGAUGGAGUAGUGUUUAGCUUGAUAAUCACCUUUUUUGUGGAUAGUGUUAGUCAUGUUAAAUAUAUUUAAGGUUUAUUUGGAAUUGUACACAUCUGCAGCUAAAAGCUGCGUAUAAGUAAAUGAGAUGUAGUAUACAAUUAGUUAAGCAGUCUCACAAAGUAAGGCUUAGACGAAUGUCUUAAUUCACUGGGUUCUCUACAUCCACUAUUUAAUAUAUGUUUGGGAAGCUACUCUCGUGUGGGUGGGUGUGUCCUCCCUUUCACCACGCCACCUGCUGCCACGGCCUUCCUCAGCUAUAGUCAACAAUGAACACUGCACAGGUGACAGGUCUCACCUUCUUCCCCCUCCCAGAGAGGCAAGGACCAAAGCACCUCCGCUUCUAGUGAGCUUGUGAUGUCCUGAGUAAACUUCCCUCUGAUCCAUUUGUCAGUCUUCCCUCUAUUUAACUUCCUUUCGCCUCUCUCCCCCCUCUGUCAUUUUCCAGGAAGUCCCUAAGGAACCUAAGCCUAUAUCGGCAGACAAGCCAAGCUCUAAGCCCUCUCCCUUACUGCAGGGCCUAGCCCAUGCCCAGCCCACUAGGGCUAUCCAUCAAGAUGUCCUAACAGCCAAGGCUGAGUCUCCCUCACCCAGACAGACUCAGGUUCCCAGCUCAGGCGGUGGGGUUCUCUGUGGUUACUUGUCACUUCACUGUCGCUAUGAACUGUUGUUGUCGCUAUGAACUGUUGUUGCACGGAUUGAUAUUGGAAGUUGUUCAAUGGGUGUACACGGCUAAUGAUCACGUAGUCACAGUGGUGUCUUAGUCAUCGUAAGAUAUGUGGGACUGUGCCAUUUUGCGCAUAUAUUUUUCUUAUUGCCGAACCUUAAUGUUGAAGAGUCUAGUUUUGUCUAGUACUCUAAAGUCUCUACUGUGUCUUACCCUCUGUCCCUGACCGAGCCUUCCCCCUGAAUGUGAAUGCUGCUGCGCUCUGGGUUCAAAUACUUUUUUUUUUCUUCUUUUUUUAAGAGAGAAGUGAAUGAGAAAAUAUGUAAAAUAAUAUAAACACAUUUACAACUGUAGCAAUCAUAUGACUGUUGGGUGGUGGGGGCAGGGGAAUGUCCAUAGUAGUGCAGCAGGGGGGAGUGAGAAGUAAUAAAACCUUUAUUUAUUUACGCUGUGCCAAUGAUAAAUGCCCAUUGGGGGGUGGGUGUGUGCAGGGUAAAUGUUUGUUGGGGAGGUGAAGGAAGCGGUGAGAACAGGCCCGUGGCUUGGGUUUUAUCUUGGCCAUCCUGUGACACCUGGUGUUCUGGAGGGCAGGCAGAUGGAGGAAGUAGGAUGUCCAAUUAAAAACACAUCUUUUGACGAAUCAGGAGAUUUGUUAAUUGUGUAGAUGCUCCUCUAAGAAAAGGAUGGUCCAAAUUAGGAUGACUAAAUCAAUGUAGGCCAGAGACAAAAAGUGGUUUUAAAAAAAACAGGAAAAUAGCAUUGCUUCAGCUAGGCAGGUUGCUGUGCGAGAAUUGAGGCUAAACUGACAGGUUCACCGUUGAACUCAUCUUUCUUCUGAAUCCAGAGGACAUAGAACAAUAGAGAAACGUCUUUGCAGACUACCACCACAACAUGCAAAAUCCUCAAGUUCCUGUGAGAAAGUGGCACCACACUGUCAACAGUUUAUGAAAUCCAAAAAAGACCCCACUGAACGAUUCAGAACAUGAAGAAUCAUAUUUGUCUUGGUAAAAUGGAUUUUUAUAAAAUAAGGAAGUGAAAGAUCAUCACUAAACCGUGUUUUCACCCACUCAGAAUGGGUUGACACCCUAGAGGAAGCCAAAUGAGGUGUGGCAAGAAACGGCGGAAACCAAAAAGGAAGAGAGGAAGUAGAGGGGGUGGCUGGUUGUAGAGGAACUCUGGAAGGUAUGCUCACUACUCUUCUAUAGUUCUAGCUAGUCUCUAGUCUCCGUAUUAAACGGGAUGAGCUACAUGUCAAUGUUUGGCUCCAAUGGGCAUACCUUUGAUGCCAGCCUGAUUUGGUUAACUGAACAAGGUUGGAUGAUUUGAUCUACUUCAAACUGAGUUUGAAUGGGUUUGGGAACAAUGCCUACCUUGUGUAAACGGGUGAGUGCAGCACAAAGCAAAACAUCUCGACUGUUUCAAUUCAGUGGACAAGUUUGACCUCUGGUGUAAGGAGAACGCCCUGGAAGAUUUCUCUCUGCCACCAAGACCAAGACCUUUUCACCCACUUAAAAAAUAAAUGUUUGAUUUUG